rnacentral:rRNA from 1 species
UACGUAGGGCGCAAGCGUUGUCCGGAAUUAUUGGGCGUAAAGAGCUCGUAGGUGGUUUGUCGCGUUGUCCGUGAAAACUCACAACUCAAUUGUGGGCGUGCGGGCGAUACGGGCAGACUGGAGUACUGCAGGGGAGACUGGAAUUCCUGGUGUAGCGGUGGAAUGCGCAGAUAUCAGGAAGAACACCCGUGGCGAAGGCGGCAUCCUGGACCGGUAUUGACGCUGAGGCGCGAAAGCUAGGGGAGCAAACGGG